CAGUUAUCGUUUAUUUGAUAGUACCUUACUACUUGGAUACCUGUGGUAAUUCUAGAGCUAAUACAUGCUAAAAACCCCGACUUCGGAAGGGGUGUAUUUAUUAGAUAAAAAACCAAUGCCCUCCGGGGCUCCGUGGUGAUUCAUAAUAACUCAACGAAUCGCAUGGCCUUGCGCCGGCGAUGGUUCAUUCAAAUUUCUGCCCUAUCAACUUUCGAUGGUAGAGUAGUGGUCUACCAUGGUUUCUACGGGUGAAACCGGUUGCCCGUAGGCACGACCGUCGAGGCCCUUCCGUGGGGGCGCCCCGGCGACACCGCUGGCUCAGAAGAGGCCCGUCGGGGCCGACUCUGGGGCGAGCUCCGGUUCGGAGCCGCCCGAACGCAUGCAAAGCGGCGGGCCCUGCGCAGGGCUUUCGGUACAUGCUAAACCGCCCGGCGCCGCGGCCGGGCGGUGCACUGAACGGGGAAUUAGGGUUCUAUUCCGGAGAGGGAGCCUGAGAAACGGCUACCACAUCCAAGGAAGGCAGCAGGCGCGCAAAUUACCCAAUCCCGACACGGGGAGGUAGUGACAAUAAAUACUGAUACAGGGCUCUUUUGGGUCUUGUAAUUGGAAUGAGUACAAUUUAAAUCCCUUAACGAGGAACAAUUGGAGGGCAAGUCUGGUGGGCACUUUAGUGUUCCAGUGGGUCUAUACCUGCUGCUGACGCCAGUCACAGACCGAUCUCCGGGGCUUAUCGGCCUUGACGAGAUCGAUUUAGUGGGCUUACAACCCGCGAGGUACUUGGUACGGGGAACGGCCUUGCGGGCCAGAUCCCGUGGUCUAGGGCGUGGUCCCUACUCCUUAACGCGCGCCAAGGUACCGGUGGGCCCCCGGCCGUCCGGGGCGAUCCACUUGAGGUACGUGCUAAACCCGCCCGUCAUGGGUCCGCAGCGACCGGUUUGAGUGCUGCGUAGGGUAAAGAAACCGGGCCGGGGGAGUCCCCCCAGCGGAAACGGUCCGAGGUUUUCUUUUUUUUUUGGCCAGCAGCCGCGGUAAUUCCAGCUCCAAUAGCGUAUAUUAAAGUUGUUGCAGUUAAAAAGCUCGUAGUUGAAACUUGGGUCUGGCUGACCGGUCCGCCUCACCGCGUGCACUGGCUUGGCCGGACCUUUCCUUCUGGGGAACCGCAUGGCCUUCAUUGGUCGUGUUGGGGAUCCAGGACUUUUACUUUGAAAAAAUUAGAGUGUUCAAAGCAGGCCUAUGCUCGAAUACAUUAGCAUGGAAUAAUAGAAUAGGA
rnacentral:rRNA from 1 species